UCUUAGUGGCGGACGGUGAGUAACGCGUGGGUAACCUGCCUUAUACAGGGGGAUAACACUUAGAAAUAGGUGCUAAUACCGCAUAAGCGCACGGGGCUGCAUGGCCCAGUGUGAAAAACUCCGGUGGUAUAAGAUGGACCCGCGUCUGAUUAGCUUGUUGGCGGGGUAACGGCCCACCAAGGCGACGAUCAGUAGCCGGCCUGAGAGGGUGGACGGCCACAUUGGGACUGAGACACGGCCCAAACUCCUACGGAAGGCAGCAG
rnacentral:rRNA from 1 species